UCGAACCUUCGACCCCUACCUCUGAAUUAGAAGGAAUCCUGGUUUUUAAGGAAGGCUCAAAAGUGCCAUUGAGCCACAAUUGAAAAAGCAAGAUGGGGCCACCUACCUGGCGGCUUUUAGGAUUUGUUCUUUGCUUCAGGUCUUGAGAGGCUAACUGCAUAUAUUAAUAAAGUCCACAUAAAAUGAGUUUCAUGAGGCA
rnacentral:lncRNA from 1 species